CAGCCAGGAUGCAAGCCGAGAUCGCGUGCCAGCAGCCCACCUUCCGCUCCUUCCCAGCAACCAAAGAAGGAAGUUCUCACCGUGCCAGCAACGCCCGGAAUCCCAUCGUCCCGAAUCCACGCAUCCCAGCUCAUCCCACGCGCUUCCUUCCUUCCGCGACUGGUCCACCAUCCACCGAGGCCAAGAUCGGCUCCUCCCGAGAUCUCGCAGCCGGCCGUG
rnacentral:lncRNA from 1 species